rnacentral:rRNA from 1 species
AUUUUUAAGUCAGGGGUGAAAUCCCGGGGCUCAACCCCGGAACUGCCUUUGAUACUGGAAGUCUUGAGUAUGGAAGAGGUGAGUGGAAUUCCGAGUGUAGAGGUGAAAUUCGUAGAUAUUCGGAGGAACACCAGUGGCGAAGGCGGCUCACUGGACCAUUACUGACGCUGAGGUGCGAAAGCGUGGGGAGCAAACAGGAUUAGAUACCC